rnacentral:misc_RNA from 1 species
UAAAUCUUUAGGAGCGUCUGAAGUGGAUUUCGUUGUAUUGGAGUCGGAAAACAUUGUCGAUUGUUUUUACUAGUUUUGAUAGGAUGACGAACGACCUUUGCUUUGGUUUAGUAUGUGGCGUUCUGCAAUCGCAGCCGAAAACAAGCUGAUUGGUAAAAACUUCCAGAUGCAUGAAGCAAGUUUUGGCUUUGAAAUAUCUAUUGUUAAUUUGGUAGUGUUCUUGAUAACAAGAUUCCUUUGAAACCUUGAACCCAUAAAAAGAUUCGUAAAUA